GUGGGGAAUUUUGGACAAUGGGCGCAAGCCUGAUCCAGCAAUGCCGCGUGCAGGAAGAAGGCCUUCGGGUUGUAAACUGCUUUUGUACGGAACGAAACGGUCCUGGUUAAUACCUGGGGCUAAUGACGGUACCGUAAGAAUAAGCACCGGCUAACUACGUGCCAGCAGCCGCGGUAAUACGUAGGGUGCAAGCGUUAAUCGGAAUUACUGGGCGUAAAGCGUGCGCAGGCGGUUUUGUAAGACAGGCGUGAAAUCCCCGGGCUCAACCUGGGAAUUGCGAUUGUGACUGCAGUGCUGGAGUACGGCAGAGGGGGAUGGAAUUCCGCGUGUAGCAGUGAAAUGCGUAGAUAUGCGGAGGAACACCGAUGGCGAAGGCAGUCCCCUGGGCCUGUACUGACGCUCAUGCACGAAAGCGUGGGGAGCAAACAGGAUUAGAUACCCGAGUAGUCC
rnacentral:rRNA from 1 species